CACUAGUAUCCAGUCUGGAGGGUUGGCUCGCAUGUUAUGUUACAGCUGACCCUCAUCUCAACUCUAACCCCUGACCCCUGGAGCUAUCUGUCAUGACAGGACAGGACAGUGGGCUGCUGGUUAACUCAACAUGGAGACUGAGAGGGAGAGAGGGGGGGGGGGGGGGGGGAACAGGGCACCAAAACAGCAGACAGAGGUCUCAUUUAUCCUCCUCUCACUGUGUCCUUUUCUAUUUUUUCUCUCCAUCCCUCCUUCCCUCCUCUUUUGUUUUCACAGCAGUGAAGAAACGGUUGCCUUUUCCCCCCCUUUCUCCUCCUUUUAUUUUCUCCCCUUCUUUUCAUGGUGGUGGCAGGCGCACUUUGGCCAUCCCAGGUACUGGCUGGAAACAGUGAGGAUUCUGGGAGAUGGUGAGAUGAGGCUUUAAUGAGAAUGAGGCCUUCCCAGCUGGAGAGAAAAAUAUAUGCAAAUGAGAUGUGUGAGCCAAGAGGACACCGGGAUGAAGAACGUGUGGCAAACAGCAAGGGGCGAACUCCAGCUGACUACGGUCGCCUCCAAGGAGAGGAAGACGAUCUGACGAAUGGGAAUGACAGGGAGGGGAGGGGACACACAGGGCCCCGCCUGCCGUCUGUCCUAGCAGUCCUGAUGACUUCUCCCUUGAUAAUCAGCUGCUAUGGGCCAGGGAUAAUUCACCUGUCAAUGCCACCUACUGAGGCUGGAACAAGGAUUGAA